UGGGAGCCAAAAGAAGAUUGAAUGGCAU
rnacentral:piRNA from 1 species